rnacentral:rRNA from 1 species
GAUGAACGCUAGCGGCAGGCCUAACACAUGCAAGUCGAGGGGCAGCACAGAAACAGCAAUGUUUUGGUGGCGACCGGCGGACGGGUGCGUAACGCGUAUGCAACCUACCUUUAACAGGGGGAUAACGGAGAGAAAUUUCCACUAAUACCCCAUAACAUCGAUCAAGGCAUCUUGAUUGGUUGAAAACUCCGGUGGUUAAAGAUGGGCAUGCGUUGUAUUAGGUAGUUGGUGAGGUAAUGGCUCACCAAGCCUACGAUACAUAGGGGGACCGAGAGGUUAGCCCCCCACACUGGUACUGAGACACGGACCAGACUCCUACGGGAGGCAGCAGUGAGGAAUAUUGGUCAAUGGGGGAAACCCUGAACCAGCCAUGCCGCGUGCAGGAAGACGGCUCUAUGAGUUGUAAACUGCUUUUAAACAGGGAUAAAGCACAGUAUGUAUACUGUGUUGAAGGUACUGUAAGAAUAAGGAUCGGCUAACUCCGUGCCAGCCGCCGCUGUAA